AUCUGGGUGGCUUAGUUGGUUAAGUGUCUGACUUUGGCUCAGGUCAUGAUCUCACGGUUCAUGGGUUCAAGCCCCACCUUGGGCU
rnacentral:tRNA from 1 species